CGCGAUGUUCAGGCGACGACGGGUAGCCGGCCUGAGAGGGUGACCGGCCACACUGGGACUGAGACACGGCCCAGACUCCUACGGGAGGCAGCAGUGGGGAAUAUUGCACAAUGGGCGAAAGCCUGAUGCAGCGACGCCGCGUGAGGGAUGACGGCCUUCGGGUUGUAAACCUCUUUCAGCAGGGACGAAGCGAAAGUGACGGUACCUGCAGAAGAAGCACCGGCUAACUACGUGCAGCAGCCGCGGG
rnacentral:rRNA from 1 species